UAUUGAGAAGCAACCGUAUUCCUGCCUGUUAGGAGCUGCAUGGAGGAAGCUGUGUGGUGGAGCUCCCAGCACCAGUGUGAUCAAUUUUGGGUUACAGCCAAGGGACCAGGGAAGCUGGUUUGUUGUAUUGGGUACAGUUGGGCAGAGGGAGAGCCAAUGGAAGCUAGAAGGGGUGCCCAAUUUGGGCAAAUGUACCGCAGCUGGAAAACCCUCUUCAGGUUUUCAGUAGUGAGGAGACAGGACCAAGUGGUUGUCAAGGUUACGGGCUAGGGCCCGACUGCUGGUUGAAGGGGGAGAAGGGCUACAAAGAGACCCAACAGACAUGAGUCCUGUCAAAACCAGGCAAGGGAGGAAGGGCUGGGUCUAUACCUUAGUGGCCCUUUGAGAAUGGCAAAAAAAAAAAAAAAAAAAAAAGGAGGGACAGCAUGCCAGAGGCCAAGACUGCCCAGAGAACGAAGAGCAGGCUACUCCAGAGUGGAGUAAAAACAGCACAAAGAGGGGGAGGUUUAGAGUGAGCGGGGAUCCACAUACCUUUGCAGGGAUUCCAGGGUUCUUCUCUUAGGCUUCUUCAGGCUUUGUCCUGGGCCCCAGAGGCUGGCUGGCUGGCUGGCUGGCUUCUUGUGCCAGGGGAAGAUUCACUUAGAAGAAAAAAAAUACUUGUUCUACUACAUAUAGCCAAGAGAGGGCUCCUGACUUUCCACAAAUACCCCAGUCCCGUGCCUGCUGCACUCUCCAUCCUCGGUGACAGGGGGAAACACCGAUCUAAGGUCACUACCCCACAGCUGCCGGGCUUGAAGCAUCCCUGACUAGGAACCAACAUGCCUCCAACAUCUCCGUGAAGCCUGCCAGGCUCCCCAAGCCACACUUCAGCACUCAACGGUAGGGGUGAGGAACAAGCGGAAAGACAAGCAGCUAGAAGCUCAGGCCAAAACAGAGGAAGCAGCAUGAUCCGUGGCACCUGUAGCCAAAUGGCUUAUCAAAGUAACAUAACUAGGAACACACUUGGGGGGGGGGGAGAAUCAAGGGCCACACCACCUUCAGCUGGAAGCUUCCUGGGCCGCGGGAGGGCAAAGCCAACUGCUACCUAUCCAGCGGGGUAAUAUCCCAG
rnacentral:lncRNA from 1 species